rnacentral:rRNA from 1 species
UACAGAGGGUGCGAGCGUUGUCCGGAAUCACUGGGCGUAAAGGGCGCGUAGGCGGCCUGGCAAGUCGAUGGUGAAAGCCCGUGGCUCAACUACGGGUCGGCCAUUGAUACUGCUAGGCUCGAGUCGACUAGAGGCAGAUGGAAUUCCGGGUGUAGCGGUGGAAUGCGUAGAGAUCCGGAAGAACACCGGUGGCGAAGGCGGCCUUCUGGACGAUGACUGACGCUGAGACGCGAAAGCGUGGGGAGCAAACAGG